UAAAAAUGUCCUACAACAAAAAUGGAUACAGCCAUUCAAACAAUUAUAUCCACGCAUGCGGAGCAGCCGAAUUCGCGAUCUAUAUCUUCGGAGGGAAAAUUUAAUUUUUCAAGUAUUUACAUUGACCUUCAUAUGUUGGAUUUGUUGUAGGAAGGACAACCGCCGAGAUAGAAUAAUUAUACGCCCCAAUAACUCAACCGUAAUAUGGACCGGCUAUGAACUGUCCAAGUUGUCAACAUAUCCAAAGCCAAAAUAAUCUGCCAUCUACACAACUAUGUGGUAAUGGUCAAUGCACAAGAACAGAAACAUCAGCAAAUCAGGGCUCUGUUCCCGAAUACAGAAACACGGCACCACAAGACACGUGUUGAACACCAUAGAAAAGAUUUACACGACAUUAUCAGCUGAACAUGUAAAAGUAUCGACAAGUAUAACUGCAUGUAAACAAUUUUAAUGAACACAAUCUUGCAGUAUUUGUAACAUACCAGAAAAAAAUAUGUGUAAUGUUUUGUUAGGCAACCUCCGUAGAAUUAACACGUUCAUUUUUAAUUAAGAUCAAAACCCUGAUUAAACCAAAUGCGCAAAUAUAUAUAAUGAAUUAUUAUUUUUGACUACUCGCAAUGUUUGAAAAUUGAAAAUACAAAGCCUCAGAAAGCUACUACAACAUAAUAUUCCGUACAUAUUUAUGUUUUGUUUUUAUAAUUAACAAGAUUCGGCUACAAACUGUCAUAUAUUUAAAGGUAAUUAAAUAUCAUAAGAGGCCGAAUGACGUGAACGGCACAGGACUGUAUUCAAUCCCAUACGCGUGUCAAACUACUGAUGGCCUCGUUAAAUUUACAAUAUCAUUUUCACACCUCUGCAAGGAUAUUUUGGAUUCACUUAACAAGUAUUUAUACCGAUGCGUGUACAUCUCCGAAUUUCUGAACUAAUUGGAUGCACCAAUUUUUCUAAAUCUCAAAAAAAGUUGAUAUUAAAUAUUUUUUCCGAGUCAUCGAUAUCAAUUUUGUUUACCGAUAUUCGGACGUUCGAUCGAGUACUCGGUUAACCGGUUACUCGUUGCCAUCCCUAAUAUAUAUGUAUAGAACAAACGUUGUGUAAUUUAUUGCCAAAAUCUUCUUUUAACAUUAUUUUACCUCUUUGAUACAUAAAAGGUGUUGUCGUUUUGUAUCUGCAGAUGUGCAAAUUCAUCAUUUCGCUUUUUACUACUACAUAAUUGUAUCAAAUGAGCAUUUGGAGUUACCCGGACUUCCAUUUCAGCGUUUAGAUAAACUAUUCCAUUCAGUUCGAUUUCCUUUUUGUUAUUGUAAGAAAAAUAGGGAAGAACGGAAUUCCUAAUGAACGCUCAAAACAACAAAAGUGAACAUGUUGCACGUUCGGUUUGAUUGAGCCUAAUCCUAGACGGUAUUUGCCAUCCACGUAUCUAGCACCGGCUUAAACAUAAUUAAACAUUUAAACAUGGUUAUUGUAAUACUAAAUAUCUGAGAUAAUGAUAAGAUGUCAUGAAUAAAGCCGCUAUGUUAGUUUUUGUCUACCUAGAUGUUAACAAGUUUUAUGGGACAGCAUUAUCUUAUUCCUGCAUUUUGUUUAAAAAAAAUGCUUUGAUAGAUUGUCGCAAGCGGAAAAAAAAUCAAGUAUUUGCUUUUGAUUACCGCAACCUUAUCUUCUGAUAUGUUCGUGUUCAAACAAAUUUUAUAAUCGUUUGGUUAUCUAGCAGUCUUCAUGUUAGUGUCAGUGUGGAAUUAUCUAAACACUUUUUAUUAAUAUUUUCUAUAAUUUGGUGGAUGUUGACUUUCUAUAUAUUACAGGAAAAAAACAAAGUAUAAAAAUGUUCAAUCACCGAAAUCUAGAAAACUUAGACAGUUUUACAGAUGACUAUGGCAACCGAUGUUGGGCAGCCGAAUUCGCAAUUUAUGUCUUCGGAAGUAUAAUAGUAUUUCUUCUCGUGGUAGUAUUGAUCUGUAUAUGUUAUAUUUGUUGUCGCAAAGACAGUCGCCGUGAUGGAAUGGCUAUUUAUCCGAUGGCACAACCGAUGCUACAACCACAACAUGGAAGUGUCAUGUACGCACCAGGCCCGAACUGCCAACAUGUUCAGUGCCAACAACAACAUCCGCCUGCCCCUGUUUAUGCCAAUGAUCACCGUAUGAUAACCACGCAACCAUCAAAUCAAGACCGAGUUGCCGAGACUCAGCACAUUUAAAAUAAGCAUCACAGAAUACUUGUGCGCUACUCGAGUAAAAGGUAUUAUAGACGAAACAGAAAGCAUAAAUUCUUUGAAGGACAUUAAAACAAAACAUUAAACAUUUCGAAACAUUCAAAAGUAUGAAUAUUUUGAUCAUAUAGACAGUAAAUUGUGUACAUACGAGAAGCUAUUUUUUGUUUCUUUUUACAAAUUCAUUUUUUAUUUUAUUAUUUAAGAAAUUUUCAAAUAAAUGUUUAUGUAUCAACCAAUAAUAAUCUUCCCUUUCAGAAAUGUUUAAAGUUUUGAUAUUGACAAAACAUUGUAUACCUAAAUAAAACAUAGCAGUACACUCUUAAUCAAACAUAUAUAUGAUAAAGGUUGCAUUAGAAUGUCAUUUUUAAUCAGAACAUAUCGGAUUUCAUAACAAGAUAGUUAUGGUUUCUACAAAGGUAGUGCUAAGUAGUAGUAACUAUUACAGUUACACCUUUUAAACGGCAUACGCUUAGUAUAAACAUCAAUCAAUUCAACCAUGAUCUAAACUGAUUAUGAGUGUCAUUUGACCGAUCAAAAUCGGGCCCGCUGAACAUAAGUAUAUAUAAUAUUACGUCAAAUUUGACGACAUCAGACAAGCUUGCUGAAAGUUAAAGAGCUGGGUUGUUGAUACGGAUUGCUUGAUUUUAUUAUAAAAACGUCAGCGUAAUUGAUUAAUCUCCUGUUUCAGAGCUAACAAAAAAUUAUAUUUGUAUAGCGAUAAGGUUAUUGUUUGCCUGCAAAUAAUCACGUUUGAAUCGACAGAUUUAUCUUAUUCAAGCAAUGGUUUGAUAGAUUGUCGCAAGAAAAAAACAAAUGCCAGUAUUAAUUUCUUUAUACCGUAACCCUACAUUUUGAUAGGUACUUUUGUUUUAUGUGCAGUUUUCAUGUUAUCUUAAGAGCGGAAUCACUGUUACACAUAUUCAUUUGUAUUAUUUAGUGGAUAAUUGCUUUAAAAACGAACAAAAAAACAUUCUUUUUUCACAUAAACCGCGGCACAGGAGUGUAAUAAAGCCAUUUAAUUAAAACGAUAUUACACUAGUGUAUAACACUUUGACAUGACAUCAUUUUCGCUAAAUAUAAACAUAGCGUUAAAAGCGCGCUAAUGUUGGCGUAACUCUAUAGGCACGUCAUUGAAAAUUACUCAUUUUAACAGUUUACUGUUCUUAUUUUAUAUAUGUGAUCAAUAGAAUAUUUGUGUAGAUUCAAUGUCAAUUUAUUGAACUCGUUGAAUAAAACAAUAUUAUGCUCGCCAGAGGCUCGCAUAAUAUGAUUUUAUUCAACUCGUUCAAUAAAUUUAGUAUUAAACUACACUCAUUCAAUAUCCUCUAUUUAUAUGUUCAUUUUAAAACCAAAUGUUAAAUCAAUAUAUUUGCAUGUCCAUAAUGAUAAAAAAUAAUUCAGAUAAUUGAUAUUUUUCUCUAUAUUUCUAUUGAAUUUCAAACGCUGAUAUUUUUGAUUUUCUUAUAUUGUUAUUGAAUUAAAUACGCUGUUUUUUUUCUGGUAUUUUCCAGACUCAUCUUGUCGUCCACGUUGAGAUACACUCGUUAUAUUGAACUCUGAUCUUAAAGAAGGUCUAACGCCACAUUGUCUUCAAUUGUGUUUUGUAAAACAUGUACACAAUGAGCAAACACCAAAAGAAUUAAAAUCACACCCGAUUUAAACGGCAUAAUUUAUACAUUAUAUUAACUAUAAGAAAAAGCCUUGAAGUCCUAUGAAAAAUGAAAAUUUUAACUUUUUGAUCAAAUUUUCUAACGUGAUCCUGUACAUUUUGUAUUUUAUCAUGAAAUCAAUACUUCACCUACAUUAACAAUACCGUUUAAAUAUUGUGCUUUAACUAUUCAAUUUUCAAGUUUGAUCUUUUCACUUUAGAUAAGAUCCUGAUUUAUAAAUGUUUUAGUAAGGAAAUUUGAGUCACAUGUAACGGUUUGCUUGGUUUGAUUUAUUGGAUGCCUUUUUAAGUCGAUAACAGAAUUAAACUCCAAUAAAUUAACCUUAAUACCAUACCACACAAUACCACCGAUUUUAUUUAUUUAUUAUUUCAGAUAACGUAUUUUCUGCCUUUUUUGUUUUAUUGUUUCAGAACAAAAAUGUCCAAUUUACCAAAUUUAGGUAGCUACGGUAGAGCAGAUAGCUAUGGCAUCCAAUGUUGGGCAGCCGAAUUAGCGAUUAAUGUCCUUGGGGGGAUAAUUGUAUUUCUCCUGGUGAUCAUUUUGAUCUAUAUAUGUUGGAUUUGUUGUCGAAAAGACAGUCGUCGUGAUGGAAUGUUUAUUUAUCCGAUGACACAACCGAUAAUACAACCACAACAUAGUGCGUAAUCUACAGAACAAUUUUACAUUAAAUUUAUUGAAGUACAGUCGCAGAAUAACAUCGAUGAAAUUGUAAGGAGGUGUUAUGUACACACAAGGCCCGAGCUGUCAACAUGUUCAAUACCAACAACAUCAACCGCCUGCACAGGUCCAUGCUAAUGCCCAAAGUACGUCUACAGCACAACCAGGAAACCGAAACGAUGUCUCCGAGUGCAGAAAUACAGCACCACAAAACACCUGUUUACCACUUGAGUAGAAAGAAUUGUAGACUAAUAAAAAAGAAUAAAUGAUAUGUAAGGCAAUAUAACUAAUCGCUAUUCUUGUCAACAUUUCUAAAUAUUAAAGUGUGUGAACCAUUUCUGCAUAUGGACAGUCAAUAAUGUACAUAAUCAACCUGAACUUUUUCACUUUCAAACAUUAACAGUAUCUGAAGCUGAUAACAGAAUAAUCACUUUGUUAAUUGUGUUGGUUUUAAAAAAAGUGAUACUAUAGCAGUUGUUUGUCAGCUUAUGUCCAUAAACUCAUGAAAUCAAAAUCCAGAAUAGUAUUAUUAUGUACACCAAUUUGUAUACCCCGAAAGAAAUCUAUUUUGAUUAUAUUUUUUGUAAUUUGUUUCACUAACUUGAUAAUUAUUGGAGGCCGUAAAUAUUCAAUCAGGGAUGUUAUAUUUUCGAUCUUUAAAGAUCGUUCAGCUCGACAGUAUUGCUGUGCUUGUGGUAUUUUUUAGUUCUUUAUCUUCGGCUAUUUCUAGUUAGAUGAUUCCAGUAUUCCUCACUUCCUCACUGUUUAAUCACCCUUAGCAGAUGGGGCAUGUUUUUAGAAUUUGUCUUUUGGCAGCUUAUCUGUAAUAUGCAGGCUUUAUAACCUCUGAUCUCCUUUUAAAAUUCCAUUUUAUUUAGUUACACCUAUUGUUUUCUCGUAUUCUUUUACAUGGGGACCAUACGCCGCUUUUGAUGGAAUGGCACGAAAGUGCCACAUUAAAAGUUUCGUGAUGACUGCCGUAUGGACACAUCUGCUGAUGCUUCUAAAGUCAAAAUUUUACCAUAACCAUUAUUAAAUGUUGAAUUCUGCUUAAGCCGGUGCUAGGGGACAUGAACGGUAACUUGCACUUCCCAUUAUCGCCCAUGAACAGGCUCAAUCAAACCUAGACUGCAACACUGACAAUUUUGAUGUUUUGUGCCUUCUUCAGGGAUUUUUUAUUUCUCUCUUUUCUUUAGCAUAAUUACAUAGUUAGAAUAGCCUUUUGAUCUAUCGUUUCAUGCGCGCUCCAGCAUUGCCAUAGUAUAUGACAUAGCCUGUUGCAUUAAAGACUUUUGUAAGAAAUCAAACGUGCAUUUGUUGUUUGUUCAACAGCAUUAUCCCGAAGCAAUUAUGUUAGGUUACUUUUUAAAACUGAAGUGCCUUGCCUCUGUACAGUUUUACAUCUUUUUUUGUUUUAAUUAAUAUAUCUAUCAAAACGUAACUUACUGGACAGUAACAUUAAUGUUUGAGAUUACGUGAAAGAGUAAAAUGAUGAAAAACUUUAAUUCAAUGAUCAAUAUCUUAAAUUAAAUGUGUUAGCAACAUUAUGGUAAAUUACAAUAUCUGCAAACAAAUCAGUUAUAGACACUAUCAUUAGGUAUCUUUGAAAUGCCUCUUCAAAUUAUACGUAAUGAUAUGUUUAAUUUUGUUAGAUUGUCCAGCGAAAUUGUAAAUGCAUGAAUAAUGAUUGCUUAUCUAAUCGUAUUGCAUUAUUUUAUCAAAACGCGUUCACGUGAUAUCACCAUAAAGGGAUGAGAAGCCGUUUUUAUGUUGUAUCUUUAAGUUAAUAUUAUUAAAUAAAAGAACGUUUUAACAAAAUGUAUAAUCUUUAGCAGCGCACAUCUAAAUCGGAAGAUAGAGAGGUGAGUUGGAUAGUAUAGGCAUCUCUUUACACAUAAUUUAUAAUAAAUUCAUAAUGCAAUCUUAUCUUGAAUUAAAAAAAAACAGAUUUGAAUAAUUGGUAUUGUUAUAUUGCAAGUUCAUUCUCAUAUUAAUUGGUUUAUCGUAUUUUGCAUUUUUUCGAAUUCAUUUUACUUUGAAGUAACUCAUUUGAUGACCUUUGAAUCGCUUUUAUUUCAGUUUGAUGAUUUACGUAUGCAUAUGAUUCCCUAUAUUUAUCAAUAUAUAAUUAAAUAAUACUUAUUAAAAAAGAACAACUUAAGAAACAAACAAACAAACUAACUAAAAAAUAUCUUCAAAUAUCUUGGUGCAGCUUUUAAACUUUUAUUUGACGAAUGAAUUUUUCUACUUCUUUUUAAUUCAUUUUCAGAAUAAAAAUGUCCUACAACCAAAAUGGAUACAGCCAUUCACACAAUUAUAUCCGCGCAUGCGGAGCAGCCGAAGCCGCGAACUAUAUCUUCGGAGGGAUAAUUUUAUUUUUUCAUGUAAUAACAUUCUGUAAUGUUCUGUUAGGCCAAUUUCGUAGAUGAUUUAACCAAAUGCGCAAAUAUAAGAUUUUUUUCAAACACACUUGCUAUACAUAGAAACACAUUCAUAAGCACAUGCAAUAUGACGUCAAAUUUGACGCCAUUAAAACACGUGUGCUGAAAGUUUUAGUUGGGUUGCUUGA